rnacentral:rRNA from 1 species
UACGGGGGGGGCAAGCGUUGUUCGGAAUUACUGGGCGUAAAGGGCUCGUAGGCGGCCAACUAAGUCGGACGUGAAAUCCCCAGGCUCAACCUGGGAACUGCGUCCGAUACUGGAUGGCUUGAAUCCGGGAGAGGGAUGCAGAAUUCCAGGUGUAGCGGUGAAAUGCGUAGAUAUCAGGAGGAACACCCGAGGCGAAGGCGGCUCUCUGGGUCGUACCUGACGCUGAGGCGCGAAAGCGUGGGGAGCAAACAGG